rnacentral:rRNA from 2 species
ACGGAAGGCAGCAGUGGGGAAUAUUGCACAAUGGGCGAAAGCCUGAUGCAGCGACGCCGCGUGAGUGAAGAAGUAUCUCGGUAUGUAAAGCUCUAUCAGCAGGGAAGAAAAUGACGGUACCUGACCAAGAAGCCCCGGCUAACUACGUGCCAGCAGCCGCGGUAAUACGUAGGGGGCAAGCGUUAUCCGGAUUUACUGGGUGUAAAGGGAGCGUAGACGGUUUGGCAAGUCUGAAGUGAAAUGCGGGGGCUCAACUCCUGAACUGCUUUGGAAACUGUCGAACUAGAGUGCAGGAGAGGUAAGUGGAAUUCCUAGUGUAGCGGUGAAAUGCGUAGAUAUUAGGAGGAACACCAGUGGCGAAGGCGGCUUACUGGACUGUAACUGACGUUGAGGCUCGAAAGCGUGGGGAGCAAACAGGAUUAGAUACCCUGGUA